AACCUCUCCCACUCCCAGCUUCACAAACUCCAGAUAGAAAACGCUGCCGAACGGAUUAGCUCCACGAAGCUGAAAUCCUGAAGCUGUCUUGGGCCGUAGUUCAUUUUUGUGGAGCGACGAAAACCGAGCUUCACUAAUUCGUGGAAGCUGGAGUUCCGCCUAUUUACAACCUUUGCCACCACCAAGGAAAACGAUUGGCGCUGACCCCACGUCUCGCUAAUAGAACAAGCCAGCAGCCCUCUCUCUCGAACAGUUUUGCCUCUGCUCCUUCCUCGUUCACGCCCACCACUAUCCCACUUGAACCCUCACCGCCGCUGCCAGUCGCGCCGCCACGCCCGCUACCCCCGGUCGUCGGCCGGAUCCCCUCCUCCGCCUACAGAUCCGGAGAUCCCGGCCUCGUUGCCGUAGGAUCCCGUGCUUAGCGGCGCUCGUCCCGCCACCAGCUUGGAGCAGCGACCACAUGGAAAUGGCGACCUCGCCCGGACGCCGUUGAUGCCCGAGACAACCGCCGGAGCCAGGAGCAGCAGUCCGAAGGCUGAGAGCCCUCGCCCAAACCACAAGAGAAGUGUCAAGCAUGACUGCUGAAUGGAGCGUUGAGAACACUAAGAUUGUAUGUGAGUUGUUCGCCGACCAAGUGGACACUGAAAAUAGGCCAGGCAAUUAUUUGACCCCAAAUGCAUUUGAUGAGGUGACAAGACAAUUUAAGAUGAGAACCGGGCUUGACUACACACACACGCAAUUGAAAAACAAAUGGGACAAGCUUAAAGCUGAUUUCACCUUGUUCAAGAAACUCAAGUUUCGGGAGACCGGAGCCGGAUGGGACUAUGUGAACAACACCGUGUCACAAGAUGAUGAGUGGUGGAAGAAGGCUAAAAUUGAUAUUAAAGGUUGUGGCAAGUUUAAGAAGAAAGGACUUGCUAAUGAAGAAAAGUUGCGGGUUAUUUUUGGAGAUAUCACAACCGAUGGUAGUGACCAUUGGGAAAUCCCUCUUCUGGCAUACCUCCCCCCUCUAGUGCGGUAGUGAAAGAAUCCAUCAAUGUUGAUGAGAUCGAGGAUCUUGAUUUGGAUGAUACGGAAGAACAAGCAUCUCAGGCAACACCUACUUCAUCUAAAGUGAGGCUUGGAAUCAUCAUUCCAGAGAAGAACAAGAAACCCAAGACUGCCCAAGUGAUGUGUGAGCAAGUUACAAGGAUUGGUGACAUUGCCGAGGCUUCUCACUCAUCAUUUCAGUCUUUCCUAAAGCAAGAUGAGGCGAAUUGUGUCACCUCGGUCAUGGAUGAAGUCAUUGCUUGUGGUGCAGCAGUUGAUACUGAUGAGUUCUUCAUGGCUAGCGAAUUGUUUGUGAAGAGGGCGCAAAGGAAGAUGUUUCUUUACAUGCCUCUUUCCUCUCGGAAGGGUUGGUUGCGUAGGAAGUAUGAGUUGAAGUAUGGGAAGUAUUUACUUCAGAUUCCAUCUAUGUGUGAUGGUUGAUUAUCCUUUGCUAUCAAAACUAUUUGUGUCUUUUAUGUUGAACCAUCUUUUAUGUCUAUGUUAUUGAGCCUAAUGUUUGCUACUUAUGGGAACUACUUGAUACCAUUCCAUAUAUUUAUGUAGGCAUUGUGGAACCAUCUUUUGU